CGGUGGUGUAAGUAAAGAAGACUGCAUUCUGCCCCUUGGGGUUUUUAUCUCCUAGAUAGUUUUGAGAGUCAAGAACAUACAUGGAAAGGAGCCCCAGAAACCUGUGAGAGCAGGCCUUCUUUUAUUCAACAGCUAUUUACUGAAGAUCUACUAUGUGCCAGACACUGUUUCAGGGAGAUAGCAUUUCCUGCAGCAAACAGCUUGGGGAAGGGCCUUUUUUUCUGUCCUUGUUGACAUCUCACUGAAGAUGGAGGGACCUCAGUCACGAGAAUCCCAUCUG